rnacentral:rRNA from 1 species
UACGAGUGCCCCAAGCGUUGUCCGGAAUUACUGGGCGUAAAGGGUCCGUAGGGGGCAUUGUUAGUCCUGCUUUAAAUUUCUGUGCUCAACACAGAAGUUGGGUGGGAAACGGCAAUGCUAGAGGAUGCGAGAGGUCUGUGGAACUCACGGUGUAGGGGUGAAAUCCGUUGAUAUCGUGGGGAACACCAAAAGCGAAGGCAACAGACUGGCGCAUUCCUGACCCUGAGGGACGAAAGCGUAGGUAGCGAACGGGAUUAGAUACCCCCGUA